AAUCGUUGGUUGUCAAUAUCAUGUCUCUGCUUAAAAUUCGCAAACAUUAAUUUAUUGCACAUUUAUUGGAAAGUCUGAAUUUAUCAGAAGACCGAAUGUGCGCAUAUAAAACCAACUUUACCGAAGUUUGUUCAUGGAGGUAUGGACGUUUCUUUUGUAUUCUGAAUUUAAAAUGUUGUUUUUGCAAUGCAGUAAGUAGUAAUUUUGACUUUAGAAGAACGAAACUUGUUUCUUUUAUGCAAUUUUUAUGGUUAAAUAUUUAAGUUUUUCUGUUUUGAUUUUGCAAUGCAGUAAAUUGACAAGCAGAAUCAACCCAGGACAGUGGAAGCUGAUCAAAAACAAGAAACAGUUGACCGGCUGUGUGGGAUCUUCAUGUUAAUGGAGCCGUGGAUCACAUGAUCUCUGCGCUGCACAACAACCAAACGUCUUCAAGGGUUUAGUGGAAGAGCUGUGCUUUCUGAUAUUGAAAGAGGAAGACCAGGAACAAGCCCUUCUUCAACUUUCACAGGCUGAAACGGAUGAUGACACACAACUGGCCAAAGAGCCUUUAGUGUUUUGCUUACAAAUUAAGGAUGAUAUGGACAUUUUUCUUAAUGAGUGUGUGGACAAAAACAGUCUUGUAAUUAAUCGCAAAUUAAGUCUCACUUACAGCGGCUUUGUUGCUAAGAACUUAUUUAUUUAACCGAGUGCAACAGACACAGUCUCAAACCCCAUGUCUCUGGCUACUGGCUUCAAGUCCCGCCCCCUCUUACUCUCUGAUAGGUUGUCAAUCACCAUAUGUAAUUAUCUAAUCUCGAUGACACCUCCCCCUUUAACUUUUCCUAAAGAAACACGUUAUUGUAACCGUAAUUUUUUAUUUACUAACUAGCACUUGCCCCUAUUCAUUUUAACUAUAAUGAACAUUUUAAACAUUUAACAGUUUUCUUUUUAUCAAAUAAACAUUUAACAUCGCAUUCAUUUAAGAUGCAUAACUCACAUCCACUACACCUAAUCUGUUUAUCACCUGCGCUGUCAUAUUUAGUCUAUUUUCAUUCUUUCUCUUAAUAUGUCUAAUGUAACAAGUUUUAUCCUUUAUCUUUAUUUUUAUUAAAUUUCUUAAGUUUAUAUUUACAUUUCCAAAAUGUUUGAUUUGUUUCGAGUUAAUUUUAUAUAGCUUAUAUUUUAUUUAAGUUUUAAUUUUCAGUACAUUUAUCCUAUUGUAAGUCAUUACGCCACUUUUAAUUAUUUUCUAAAACACUCAUUGCACUUCCUAAGACAACCCUGUUUUCUUUUUACUAAAUAGCUUCACAAAACAAUAAUGCUUUCUCGCUUAUUUUCAGUCUUAUAUCACUUUAUAAUGACCCUUUUGAUUAGUUCUAUUUUUUAUUGUACUUUUUUUGUACAAACAACUCUGACAUAUUACAUACAUUUAUUGAUAUACCUUUUAAUCGAAAAAAAUACAUAUUUCAUUCUUAUUGUCACUAAUCUGAUAAAAUGUUCAUCUAAUAGUUUUAUUUUUGUACUUUUAUUUCUUUAUCAUUUUUUUCUAAGCAGCUAUUAUUUAUUAUUUAUAUAUAUUUUUUUCUAAAAGUUUCAUUUCUGAAUUAGUAAUUAGUUUCUAUACAGUUAUUAAAUGAUCUAGAUCUAGUUUCAUUUUCUCA